GACAGAGGGGGCAAGCGUUGCUCGGAAUCACUGGGCGUAAAGGGCGCGUAGGCGGGAUGGCAAGUCAGUCGUGAAAUCUCUCGGCUCAACCGAGAAACGUCGGCUGAUACUGCCGUUCUUGAGGGAUGCAGAGGAGACUGGAAUUCCCGGUGUAGCGGUGAAAUGUGUAGAGAUCGGGAGGAACACCGGUGGCGAAGGCAGGUCUCUGGGCAUUAACUGACGCUGAGGAGCGAAAGCAUGGGGAGCGAACAGG
rnacentral:rRNA from 1 species